UACAGAGGGUGCGAGCGUUGUUCGGAAUUACUGGGCGUAAAGCGCGCGCAGGCGGCCUUUAAGUCUUGUGGUGAAAUGCCGGGCUCAACCCCGUGCCCGCCGGAGAUACUGGGAGGCUGGAGACGAGUAGAGGCAAGCGGAAUUCCGGGUGUAGCGGUGGAAUGCGUAGAGAUCCGGAAGAACACCGGAGGCGAAGGCGGCUUGCUGGGCUCGGUCUGACGCUGAGGCGCGAAAGCGUGGGGAGCGAACAGG
rnacentral:rRNA from 1 species